rnacentral:rRNA from 1 species
AAAACACAAUAGUAAAAACUUUCAACAACGGAUCUCUUGGUUCCAGCAUCGAUGAAGAACGCAGCGAAAUGCGAUAACUAAUGUGAAUUGCAGAAUUCAGUGAAUCAUCGAGUCUUUGAACGCACAUUGCGCCCUCGGUAUUCCGGGGGGCAUGCCUKUUSAGCGKYCWUWC